GUCAUUGUAUUGUCAAUGAUUCAUAGAUUGUACAAUAUACCUAUCUAUUUGCUAGAAAAAAAAAAUUAAAAAUACAAUAAUAUAUAAGUCGUGGGCAAAACGGUAAAGGAAGAAAAACACAAGUGGUCGAAGAUAUGUUUUUACGGAAAUAUAAUUGAUCGUAAAAGUCAAAGAAGAAAUGGUAAGGGACGCGAAUGUCGCUAUACGGAACGGCACGUGGAUCUUGGUUUUUCAAGGUCGGCCGUGGUACGACGCGCAAAAUUUCGGUAUAUCUCUGGGAUCAGAAAAAAAAUAAAUCGUAGAGAAAAAGAGAUAGAAUGAGGCAGGGGCAAUCACGAAGGUCGCACGCGUGGCCACAGAGAUUUCUUCGAAAAUUACUUAUCGCUCCACGCGCCUUCUCUUUUGCCACGAUAUUGAAUGUACUCUCGCCAUACGUGCGUAUAUUUGUACACAUACGAUCUCUUUGGAUUUGUUCUUUCUUCUUUAUCCAUUCCUUCUCCUUUUUUUGUUCUUUCCUUCCAACCCCCCCCCCCGUUCCAUUUGUAAAAGUUAAUAAUUCGUACGAAUCAAAUUAAUUAUAUCGACUGGCGUUGAAAAUUUGAUUCAAUUAUUAUAUUCGAAUUUUUCUCUCGAUUUAUAUUACGGAACUUAUUAUGGUGAAUGUCAAUUUUUUUCCUUCCUUUUUUGUUUUUUGUUUUUUUCCCCCCCUCUUUGGCGCUAAUAUUCCCGAUGUUAACUAAAUUGACAGCGACCGCAAAUCUCCAUUUUAUCCGAUCGGAAUGAGAGUUCAUUGGUGAAUCGCGAAUUAUAGAUACGUAUGUACACGUCGAUGUAAUUUCGCUACGGAAUAGCUAAUUAAUCAUUUGCAUUCGAAACACGACAAUCUAUCUACCUAUCUACCUAUCUAUCUGUUCGUACCGAUCUAAAAUUAAUAGCAAAACGAUAAUGACGUCGACGUUUAUUGACAUUCUCGUCUUAUUUUCUCGCAGAUGUAUUUUAGCAGUAAACAAUGCGAAUCGUACGAUAGGAUUUGCAGGAAGUUAUCGGUCGAUAAUUAGCAGGCAGCAUCGCACAGAUCGAACUCUUAUCAUCGACAUAAACAAUCGCGUUUCGUUCAAAAUACGAACGAAACAUUAUCAACGAGGAAAAUAACCGGAUGUAAAAUCGCGUUAUCCUAUAUUUGUAGAUUAUCGAGAUAACUCGUUGAAAAGCUUUUUAGCGCGUUCGUGAUAACGGGAAUAAAUGGAGAAAAAGAGAAAGGUAGAGAAAGAAAUGGAAAGAGAGAAAGAUAUCAAACGCGGCACUUUUACUCGUCGAAAGUCGAAAUCGCGUUAGUAAGAAAACGUCUCUCGAUCCAAACGAACGUCUUAUAAGCCGUCCUCCUAUUAUUUACUUCUACGAUUAUUUCUCGCUUAGCAGAGCGUUUAGAAACUUAGUUAACGAGCCGGAUCAUCGAUGAAGCAUCAUUGGUACGAGAGUGGGAUGUCUUUCGACAGGUAUCAUCGCGGAAGAAACAAACUAAUUAUACCUGCUGGUAUUACACACAGGUAUGAUGUCAUUAGGCAAAGACCGGGCGAUCUCGUUCAGUGACUCAUCGUAAGUCGGUCGAAAGCGUUUACAAUAUACGAUAGUUAAUUAACCUAUAAUAAUGCGCGUAAAAAUAUACAAACGUAACUAUCUUAUCCAUUAACGAGAAUCCUGGCGAUACAAGUUAAAAAUAAAAGUGACGAUAAAUAUUCGAUAAGAACAAUUUUUUUUUUAAUUUUUAUCAAAUUAGUCUAAUACUCGCUUAGAAUAAAAAUUUUCAAACAUUUUGAUUGGGAGAGAAAGAAAAUUCAAACGUUUCCCAGGAAAAUUAAA